AUGGUUCAAACUCAGUUAGAACAAGUUGCUCAAUCACAAAAGGAAUUACUUGAUGAGAUGAAUCAUAAUAUGCAUGACUUUGCUGUUAGAAUUGCAACUAGAGGAGGUAAAAUGACUCAGGAACCACCUUAUCCCCAGGGACACCCAAAAAGAAUUGAACAAGAUUCACAAAGAGCUAACACUAGUGCACCUAGUCCUUUUAGAAAGAAAAACAAAAAGAAAAAUGAUAGGACUUUGCACACUUCUAGUGAACCUGAAAUAGAGAAACCACGUGAUAAUGAAAAUGAAACUUCUGUCUCUGAUGCUGAAACUCAAUCUGGUAAUAAACACUCACCUAGUGAUAAUGAAAAAGAUAAUGCUAAUGUUCAUGAAGAUGCUCAACCAAAUGAUAAAGAACCAGAUAAUGAUGUUGAGAUAGAAUUACACUACUAG
rnacentral:rRNA from 1 species